UCCUUCAUGCCCCUGGAAUCCAAUUACUGCGACCAACUCGAGAUCCAGCGACUCAACCGCAGGAUUUACCAUCCCCCUUCACAUAAAGCUCAGCACUGAAGAGGCAGUAGCUCUCAGACUUAUUCAUACUAACACAUUACCAAACCUACAGAGAUACAGCAAAAUGUGCCCACAAACAUAUCGCAGCAUCUGCCCUGGUGCGGCGCCACACGCCCUACACUCUUUCACAUCUCGUGGGGGUGCGGGGG
rnacentral:lncRNA from 1 species